rnacentral:rRNA from 1 species
CAAUAGCGUAUAUUAAAGUUGUUGCAGUUAAAAAGCUCGUAGUUGGAUUUCUGGUGGGAGCGAUCGGUCUGGCGCUUAGCGCGAGUACUUGCAUCGUCUCCGGCCAUCCUUGGGGAGAGUCUGUCUGGCAUUAGGUUGUCGGGCAGAGGAUCCUCAUCGUUUACUGUGAAAAAAUUAGAGUGUUCAAAGCAGGCUUAUGCCGUUGGAUAUAUUAGCAUGGAAUAAUAAGAUAGGACUUUGGUACUAUUUUGUUGGUUUGCGCACCAAAGUAAUGAUUAAUAGGGACAGUUGGGGGUAUUCGUAUUCCGUUGUCAGAGGUGAAAUUCUUGGAUUUACGGAAGACGAACUACUGCGAAAGCAUUUACCAAGGAUGUUUUCAUUAA